UAGCUGACCGGUCUACCACCGGGAUGUUCAUAACCCUUUGUUGUCCGACUCUGUUGCCUCCGGGGCGACCCUGCCUUCGGGCGGGGGCUCCGGGUGGACACUUCAAACUCUUGCGUAACUUUGCAGUCUGAGUAAACUUAAUUAAUAAAUUAAAACUUUUAACAACGGAUCUCUUGGUUCUGGCAUCGAUGAAGAACGCAGCGAAAUGCGAUAAGUAAUGUGAAUUGCAGAAUUCAGUGAAUCAUCGAAUCUUUGAACGCACAUUGCGCCCCCUGGUAUUCCGGGGGGCAUGCCUGUUCGAGCGUCAUUUCACCACUCAAGCCUCGCUUGGUAUUGGGCAUCGCGGUCCGCCGCGUGCCUCAAAUCGACCGGCUGGGUCUUCUGUCCCCUAAGCGUUGUGGAAACUAUUCGCUAAAGGGUGUUCGGGAGGCUACGCCGUAAAACAACCCCAUUUCUAAGGUUGACCUCGGAUCAGGUAGGGAUACCCGCUGAACUUAAGCAUAUAAAAAAGGGGGAAGAGGAA
rnacentral:rRNA from 1 species